AUAAACAACAUCAACUCAAGGAUCUCAUCUCUUUUUCUUCAACAAAUGGAGCAACCUUUCAGGGUCUGCAUCUUUUGCAUAAGAACUUUCAUGCACAGGGUGCUUGAACCCCCUGAUGAUGUCAAAAAACUUUUCCAGGACUACUCACAGAAUGGCACCAUGUCAAAGGAUGAUCUACUUAAAUUUCUAUCAAAGGUUCAAGGACAAAACAAUGCCAAGGAAGAAGACGCUGAGGCGAUCUUUAAUAGUCUCAAGCAUCUCAACAUCUUCCCCAGAAAGGGUCUUCAUCUAGAAGCCUUCUAUCGAUAUCUUCUUGGCGACCUGAAUACUCCUCUUUCUCCAUGUGUGCACCAGGACAUGACUGCUCCACUAGCUCAUUAUUUCAUGUACACAGGCCACAACUCUUACCUGUCUGGGAAUCAAUUAAGCAGUAAGAGCGGUGUUAGACCUAUCAAAAAAGCUUUGCAAAAUGGUGUAAGAGUAAUUGAAUUAGAUCUAUGGCCAGCCAGGAACAACAAUGUGGUGGUUCGCCAUGGAGGGACCCUGACAACAUCAGUGAAACUCCUCAGAUGUUUGCGUGCAAUUAAGGAAUUUGCCUUUCAGGUAUCCGAAUAUCCUGUUGUGAUAACGUUUGAAGAUCACCUGACUGCCAAUCUUCAAUAUAAGGUUGCUGAGAUGGUCACUAAAACAUUCGGAGGCAUGCUGUACCGUCCCGAGACAGAUGAAUUAGAGAAAUUAUCACCAGAGUCAUUGAAGAAGAAGAUUUUGAUUUCAACUAAACCGCCAAGAGAGUAUCUUGAAACUCAAGACAGCAACACUCCGCACGAAUCAAAAAAAUCAUCAGAGGAACAAGGGGGUGAUGAGAAGUUGCAUUCUUCAAGAAUUAACCUUUUUAGUUGCUCAUCCAUGUGUUUCGCUAAGCAGGAUCAGAUUGAUGAGGGAGAACAGCUUCAAGGAGAAGAUGAGGAGAUGACAAUACCUAAAUACAGGGAUUUAAUUGCCAUUCCUUCAGGGAAGCCAGAAGGUGGAUUAGAAGAAUGGCUCAGAAUAGAUGAGAAAGAAGUAAAACGUCUGAGCUUGAGUGAGCAAGAACUUGAAAAGGCUACAAGAACAUAUGGAAAAGACAUUGUCAGUUUCACCAAGAACAAUUUGUUGCGGGUAUACCCCAAAGGUACACGCUUGGAUUCAUCUAAUUACGAUCCUUUCGUCGGAUGGAAACAUGGAGCUCAAAUGGUUGCAUUUAAUAUGCAGGGCUAUGGGAACCACCUUCGGAUUAUGCAAGGAAUGUUUAGAGCCAAUGGUGGCUGUGGUUAUGUGAAAAAACCUGAUUUUUUAUUGAGGGAAAAUGAUGAUUUUGAUCCUGGUGUGCCCUCAACAGUUUAUAAAAUAUUGAAGGUGAAAAUCUACUCUGGGGAAGGGUGGCAUUUGGAUUUUCGCCACACACAUUUUGAUCAAUAUUCUCCACCUGACUUCUUGGUAAAAGUUGGAAUUGUUGGGGUCCAUGCUAGUGAAACCAGUAGAACAAAGGUGGUUAAAAACAGCUGGCUACCGGAAUGGAACGAGGAAUUUAAGUUCGAAGUGGCUGCUCCUGAAUUGUCAGUGCUUAGGAUCGAAGUCAAUGACGAUGAUAAAUAUGGAAGUCAUGACUUCGCUGGCCAAACAUAUUUGCCUAUAUCAGAGUUGAGAACUGGUAUUCGAGCAGUUCCGUUGCAUGAUCGUAGAGGAGUGAGAUACAAGAGUGCAAGGCUUCUUAUGAGAUUUGACCUAAAAGACUCCCGAGAAUGUUCCGAGUGACAAAAAUCACGAGAUUGAUCGUCUCCAUUAGCGGAUUGAACCAGGGAGUCUAUUUAGAGGAACUACACUAACCCUUUGUUAGUGAGUAUAUAUUUAAAAUUAUUGGCUCGUGUUGAUCUGCUUUUUACGUAUUUUUAGAGUUUUAAGGGUCAAAAUAAAACACCGAUAAGAUAUCUAUAGGGCUGGGAGCUAUUUUAAGCCAUGGCAUUUGUCAGUAAGGCAUUAAUUGUGAGGCGUAUGGGAUUAUCGAUUCAUGAGAAGGAAUUCAUGGCUAUUUCGAUGGUUGUUGAAAGGUGGAGAUAUUAUUUGGAACAUGAUCAAUUCCUCAUCAAGACUGAUAGUGAAAGUCUGAAAUAUCUCCUGAAGCAGAAGAUACACGCUCCAUUGCAGAGGAAAGAGGUAACUAAGUUGGUGGGUGCUGCUGCACCUGACUCUUACACAGCUUGGUUAUCCAUUAUUGAAACUCUUCUAAGAUUCUCUGUCAACUCCUCUGCGCACCUGCUUUCACCAUGACUGUAGAGUUCUCUUUCAGUGUCUGGAACGCCAUGUCCCUUAUCAAUUUAUGCAUUUUCACAGGACUGUCGCCAUAAAUUCUUUCCAAUAUACAUACAUUUUCAAGUCUAUUAAAACAACGUGAGCCCCACGAAGUAUAAACAUGUUACAAGGAACUAGAUAUUAUCAUUAAUGCAAAAGGUAUAUAGUUAAGUGUGA